AAUGACGUCAAAUAGAGUCCCGACAGCAGCUAACGGGGAGGAGUUAUUUAACGAGAGGAUCCGCCCCUUUAAGACAAGCAAGUGUUGUCGAGGGUGAGUUGAAAGGUCAGCUUUCACUUUAAGGAAGAAGGAAAAGAGAAUGGGUGGUGGACAAAGUAGUGACCAUACACUUGAUAAUGGUCAGUUGGCUUUUGGAACUGCUGAGGAAAACAACAAGAAUACAGCACAGAAUUCCUCCUGUGUUUUAGCAUGUAAAAAGAGCAACAGCAGGGAUGUUGUUGAACUCCCACAGAGGCAGAUGGGAAACAAGAAGGCAGAUGACAUGUGCUUCAUGAUAACCUGCACAAACUGGUAUUAGAGAUGGGACACAUCUGUGACAGAAGGAGAACAGAGGAGUGCAUAUCUGGAACUCUCCCAAAGAAUCUGGGGCUGCCAACACAAAUAUUCUGUGGAUGACAAGGAAACGCAAUAAAGCAAUCUAAUUUAAUGCUUGCUUCUUCAUUACUGACUUCUCACGUGAUUUAAAAAGGAAUUUUGCUUUUCUCAUCCCAGAUGAAAAUUAUACUGUCAGUAAUGGGAACAGAGGUACUCUGUAUGCAAAUCUUUGUCCUACAAGUAAAUAAAAAGGUUCUGCUUCAUUGGGUUAUUCUGCUGUAAUGUUCUGUCCUCCAUAAAAGAAAAAACAUUGAAGUCUUAUGUAUUAGCAGUACGUCUGCUGAUAAAUAAAGUGAAGUGAAAUAC